rnacentral:misc_RNA from 1 species
GACUAACAACUGCAGUAGCAGGUGCGUGGAAAAGCAUCCUCGAAAAUCUAACGCCUCAUGAGUCUUCUAUUUUCAUUGUUGUUCAAAUCAAAUCACCAAUUGGACUGCAAUUAAUGAAAUAUUUCAUUCACAUAGCAAGACCUUGAACCACCAUUCCAAACAAUUCCAAAAGAGCCUACAAGAUAUACAUAAAGUAGAACCAAUAUGAUAGCAAAAACCCAAAACUCCAAAUAGAAACUAAAUCUCUCCCUAUCUCAUAUGCCUGUAAACUUGAUAAUUGCUAAUAU